AUUGAACGCUGGCGGCAGGCCUAACACAUGCAAGUCGGGCGAGCGGCAGACGGGCGAGAAAUGUAUGGGGAUCAGCCAGCUGGCGGGGGAUAAAUACUGGAAACGGUAGCUAAUACCGCAUACCAUCAGAUGAUCCCAUAUGGGAUUAGCUUGUAGGGGAGGUAACGGCUCACCUAGGCGACGAUCACUAGCUGCUCUGCGAGGAUGAUCAGCCACACUGGGACUGAGACACGGCCCAGACUCCUACGGGAGGCAGCAGUGGGGAAUAUUGCACAAUGGGCGCAAGCCUGAUGCAGCCAUGCCGCGUGUAUGAAGAAGGCCUUCGGGUUGUAAAGUACUUUCAGUCGGGAGGCGUUACCGACAGAAGAAGCACCGGCUAACUCCGUGCCAGCAGCCGCGGUAAUAC
rnacentral:rRNA from 1 species